rnacentral:tRNA from 1 species
GGCGAGGUGGCAGAGUGGUCGAAUGCACCGCACUCGAAAUGCGGCAUACCUGCAAGGGUAUCGUGGGUUCAAAUCCCAACCUCUCCGCCA